rnacentral:rRNA from 1 species
UACGUAGGGGGCUAGCGUUGUCCGGAUUUAUUGGGCGUAAAGAGCGUGUAGGCGGCCAGGUAGGUCUGCUGUGAAAACUCGAGGCUCAACCUCGAGAUGUCGGCGGAAACCAUCUGGCUAGAGUCCGGAAGAGGAAAGUGGAAUUCCUGGUGUAGCGGUGAAAUGCGCAGAUAUCAGGAAGAACACCCGUGGCGAAGGCGGCUUUCUGGGACGGUACUGACGCUGAGGCGCGAAAGCUAGGGGAGCAAACGGG